AGCUCAUAUAAGGUAAAAGGCAGAGUGGCCUCUGUGGCCAGGGAGCCGCAGGCAAGGGACUAAGGGGAGGGGGGCUCAGUGCCAGCUGCUUAAAAAUGCCCCUGUGGCAGCGAGGGGCACCAGAGGCUGGGUCUAAUUAGUUGAGAAGCAGUGACAACCCCAACCACUCACCAAACAGGCUGGUUCCCAUCUCCAGGCCCCAAGGAGCCACACCUGGACCAGAUCCCAGGAAAGACAUGUGGUGGAAACCUAGGGCCCUGGAGCCCAAGGAAAGCAAGGGCUGUACCAAGUGCACAGGCAAGGGCACUGACUGGUGGGAGCCACCCCUGCCAUGCUAAUGUUGGAGAAGCAAGAACUCUGGAGAAGCAGCCUCCUGGGACCAGAAGAGGGCCAGCAGCGGGCAGCUCAGAGACAGAACUCUCACCCACGCCUCCCCAAGCCUCCCGACAGAAGACAGAGGUCCCCCACAGCCCAGAGACAUUUCCUGAAGACAUGGGGAGCACAGAGGCGGAAACAGCCCAUCCACCCAGGAGCGGCCCCCAACGCUGCCGGCAGCCAGCACCCAGAGCCAUCAGGUAAAACUGAGGCCACCUGGCUCAACACUGCUUUUCACAGAAGGGGAAACAGCCACAGAGAGAAGGGCCUGGUAAGAAGUGCAACCUGGGACCCCCAAGCGGUGGCUCUCAUCCUGACCGGGGAUCCAGAGUAGGAGGGAGCCUUUGGUGGGGUUGGAGUCCCGCCACAGGUCGCCAGAGCGGAGCAGCGCAGCGCCGUGUCUCCCAGCCUGAGGUGCAGUGCUGCAUCUCUGGUCAGUUGGGAGUCUGAGAUGAAGCACUGUAGCUCAGGAAGAGAGAAGUUGUUCUGCAGCCAUCAGCCUGGAAGUGCCUGGCUGGUGGCCCUUCUCACAGUAGCUUCCCCUGAAGAAGAAGAAAAGCAAACCUUCACUGAGACCCAAGUGGUCUCUCCUGUGCUCUGUGACAAUAAUAAAGUCCUGGCCCUUGGC